AAGUCGUAACAAGGUUUCCGUAGGUGAACCUGCGGAAGGAUCAUUAUCCUUUAGCGUAGUAUUCUAACAAGUACUACAAGCGCAUGCACGCUCGUGUUGCGUAAAAAAAGCACAACAAAACAUGCCUAGUCACGUUUUGUUUCCAAACCCAUGCUCGCUUGAGCAUGGUCGGGUACCUAAGUAAGCGUUUCACGCGUACUGAAGCGGUAGAUGCGUGUCUACCGUGUGGUGUAAAGAUUAUUCAGGCCUUGAAUAACGCCCGCCUAGCAAACUUUUGUAGACAAAUAUUAAUCGCUUAUUAUGUUGUAUGUGUAAAGCACUAUCUUAUUACUUAUAGGAUAAUAACACAAAUACAACCCUAUGCGGUGGAUCAUUUGGCUC
rnacentral:misc_RNA from 1 species